rnacentral:rRNA from 1 species
AAGUCUUCGGGGAGCCGUAAGUAGGCUUUGAUCCGGAGGUCUCCGAAUGGGGGAACCCAGCAUGUGCAGACAUGCUAUCCUUAAGUGAAUACAUAGCUUAAGGAGGGAACACGCAGUGAACUGAAACAUCUAAGUAGCUGCAGGAAGAGAAAGAAAUAUCGAUUUCCCAAGUAGCGGCGAGCGAACAGGAAAGAGCCCAAACCGGCAGAUUUAUCUGCCGGGGUUGUAGGACUGAGACAUGGCACUUCAGAGGAUAGCAGAAGCGUUUGGGAAAGCGCGCCAGAGAGGGUGAGAGCCCCGUAAGCGAAAUCCAAAGAAGGCCUAUCAGUAUCCUGAGUAGGGCGGGACACGUGAAAUCCCGUUUGAAUCCGCGAGGACCAUCUCGCAAGGCUAAAUACUAACCAGUGACCGAUAGUGAAC